rnacentral:rRNA from 1 species
GAUCCUGGCUCAGGACGAACGCUGGCGGCGUGCCUAAUACAUGCAAGUUGAACGCUGAAGACUGGUACUUGUACCAGUUGGAUGAGUAGCGAACGGGUGAGUAACGCGUGGGUAACCUACCUCUUAGCGGGGGACAACUAUUGGAAACGAUAGCUAAUACCGCAUAACAAUACUUAACUACAUGUUAAGUAUUUGAAAGCACCAAUUGGUGCACUAAGAGAUGGACCCGCGUUGUAUUAGCUAGUUGGUAGUG